GACGAACGCUGGCGGCGUGCCUAAUACAUGCAAGUUGAGCGCUGAAGGUUGGUACUUGUACCAACUGGAUGAGCAGCGAACGGGUGAGUAACGCGUGGGGAAUCUGCCUUUGAGCGGGGGACAACAUUUGGAAACGAAUGCUAAUACCGCAUAAAAACUUUAAACACAAGUUUUAAGUUUGAAAGAUGCAAUUGCAUCACUCAAAGAUGGUCCCGCGUUGUAUUAGCUAGUUGGUGAGGUAAAGGCUCACCAAGGCGAUGAUACAUAGCCGACCUGAGAGGGUGAUCGGCCACAUUGGGACUGAGACACGGCCCAAACUCCUACGGGAGGCAGCAGUAGGGAAUCUUAGGCAAUGGACGAAAGUCUGACCGAGCAACGCCGCGUGAGUGAAGAAGGUUUUCGGAUCGUAAAACUCUGUUGGUAGAGAAGAACGUUGGUGAGAGUGGAAAGCUCAUCAAGUGACGGUAACUACCCAGAAAGGGACGGCUAACUACGUG
rnacentral:rRNA from 1 species